rnacentral:rRNA from 1 species
GUAGCGAAAGUUGCGCUAAUACCGCAUAUUCUGUGAGCAGGAAAGCAGGGGACCGCAAGGCCUUGCGCUCUUUGAGCGGCCGAUGUCAGAUUAGCUAGUUGGUGAGGUAAAGGCUUACCAAGGCGACGAUCUGUAGCGGGUCUGAGAGGAUGAUCCGCCACACUGGAACUGAGACACGGUCCAGACUCCUACGGGAGGCAGCAGUGGGGAAUUUUGGACAAUGGGGGCAACCCUGAUCCAGCCAUGCCGCGUGAGUGAAGAAGGCCUUCGGGUUGUAAAGCUCUUUCGGCCGGGAAGAAAUCGCAUGGGCCAAUACCCUGUGUGGAUGACGGUACCGGAAUAAGAAGCACCGGCUAACUACGUGCCAGCAGCCGCGGUAAUACGUAGGGUGCGAGCGUUAAUCGGAAUUACUGGGCGUAAAGCGUGCGCAGGCGGUUUUGUAAGACAGGCGUGAAAUCCCCGGGCUUAACCUGGGAACUGCGUUUGUGACUGCAAGGCUAGAGUACGGCAGAGGGGGGUGGAAUUCCACGUGUAGCAGUGAAAUGCGUAGAGAUGUGGAGGAACACCAAUGGCGAAGGCAGCCCCCUGGGUCGAUACUGACGCUCAUGCACGAAAGCGUGGGUAGCAAACAGGAUUAGAUACCCUGGUAGUCCACGCCCUAAACUAUGUCAACUAGGUGUUGGGUGGGUAAAACCAUUUAGUACCGUAGCUAACGCGUGAAGUUGACCGCCUGGGGAGUACGGCCGCAAGGUUAAAACUCAAAGGAAUUGACGGGGACCCGCACAAGCGGUGGAUGAUGUGGAUUAAUUCGAUGCAACGCGAAAAACCUUACCUACCCUUGACAUGCCAGGAACUUGCCAGAGAUGGCUUGGUGCCCGAAAGGGAGCCUGGACACAGGUGCUGCAUGGCUGUCGUCAGCUCGUUCGUGAGAUGUUGGGUUAAGUCCCGCAACGAGCGCAACCCUUGUCGUUAAUUGCCAUCAUUUAGUUGGGCACUUUAACGAGACUGCCGGUGACAAACCGGAGGAAGGUGGGGAUGACGUCAAGUCCUCAUGGCCCUUAUGGGUAGGGCUUCACACGUCAUACAAUGGUCGGUACAAAGGGUUGCCAAGCCGCGAGGCGGAGCCAAUCCCAGAAAGCCGAUCGUAGUCCGGAUUGCAGGCUGCAACUCGCCUGCAUGAAGUCGGAAUCGCUAGUAAUCGUGGAUCAGCAUGUCACGGUGAAUACGUUCCCGGGUCUUGUACACACCGCCCGUCACACCAUGGGAGCGGGUUCCGCCAGAAGUAGGUAGCCUAACCGCAAGGGGGGCGCUUACCACGGCGGGGUUCGUGACUGGGGUGAAGUCGUAACAAGGUA